rnacentral:rRNA from 1 species
CCUACGGGUGGCAGCAGUGAGGAAUAUUGGUCAAUGGGCGCGAGCCUGAACCAGCCAAGUAGCGUGAGGGAUGACGGCCCUACGGAUUGUAAACCUCUUUUGUAGAGGAGUAAAGUACGGCACGUGUGCCGUUUUGUGUGUACUUUAUGAAUAAGCAUCGGCUAACUCCGUGCCAGCAGCCGCGGUAAUACGGAGGAUUCGAGCGUUAUCCGGAUUUCUUGGGUUUAAAGGGUGCGUAGGUGGGUUGUUAAGUCAGGGGUGAAAGUUUGCGGCUCAAACUUAAAGGUGCAAUUGAAACUGGUAGUCUUGAGUACACUUGAGGUAUGCGGAAUUCGUGGUGUAGCGGUGAAAUGCAUAGAUAUCACGAAGAACUCCGAUUGCGAAGGCAGCAUACCAACCUGCAACUGACACUGAUGCUCGAAAGUGUGGGUAUCAAACAGGAUUAGAUACCCCGGUAGUC